AGUGAACGCUGGCGGUAGGCCUAACACAUGCAAGUCGAACGGCAGCACAGGAGAGCUUGCUCUCUGGGUGGCGAGUGGCGGACGGGUGAGGAAUACAUCGGAAUCUACUCUGUCGUGGAGGAUAACGUAGGGAAACUUACGCUAAUACCGCAUACGACCUACGGGUGAAAGCAGGGGACCUUCGGGCCUUGCGCGAUUGAAUGAGCCGAUGUCGGAUUAGCUAGUUGGCGGGGUAAAGGCCCACCAAGGCGACGAUCCGUAGCUGGUCUGAGAGGAUGAUCAGCCACAAUGGAACUGAGAAACGGUCCAGACUCCUACGGGAGGCAGCAGUGGGGAAUAUUGGACAAUGGGCGCAAGCCUGAUCCAGCCAUACCGCGUGGGUGAAGAAGGCCUUCGGGUUGUAAAGCCCUUCUGUUGGGAAAGAAAUCCAGCUGGCUAAUACCCGGUUGGGAUGACGGUACCCAAAGAAUAAGCACCGGCUAACUUCGUGCCAGCCGCCGCGGUAA
rnacentral:rRNA from 1 species